rnacentral:misc_RNA from 1 species
GAUGAAGAACGCAGCGAAAUGCGAUAAGUAAUGUGAAUUGCAGAAUUCAGUGAAUCAUCGAAUCUUUGAACGCACAUUGCGCCCGCCAGUAUUCUGGCGGGCAUACCUGUUCGAGCGUCAUUUCAACCCUCAAGCCCAGCUUGGUGUUGGGGAUCGGCACAGGCGCCCUCGGGCGCCAGCCGUCCCCUAAAUCUAGUGGCGGUCCCGCUGCAGCCUCCUCUGCGUAGUAGUUUUCUCCUCGCAAGGGCAGCUCGGUGGCGACCUCGCCGUAAAACCCCCAACUUCUGAAAGGUUGACCUCGAAUCAGGUAGGAAUACCCGCUGAACUUAAGCAUAUCAAUAAGCGGAGGA